rnacentral:rRNA from 1 species
UGCUGGGUUGGAUGAGUGGCGAACGGGUGAGUAACACGUGAGUAACCUGCCCCCUUCUUUGGGAUAACGGUCGGAAACGGCUGCUAAUACCGGGUAUUCACUGUCCUUCGCAUGGGGGGUGGUGGAAAGGUUUUUUCUGGUGGGGGAUGGGCUCGCGGCCUAUCAGCUUGUUGGUGGGGUGAUGGCUUACCAAGGCUUUGACGGGUAACCGGCCUGAGAGGGUGACCGGUCACAUUGGGACUGAGAUACGGCCCAGACUCCUACGGGAGGCAGCAGUGGGGAAUAUUGCACAAUGGGCGAAAGCCUGAUGCAGCGACGCCGCGUGAGGGAUGACGGCCUUCGGGUUGUAAACCUCUUUCGCUCAUGGUCAAGCCGCAACAGUGGUUGUGGUGAGGGUAGUGGGUAAAGAAGCACCGGCUAACUACGUGCCAGCAGCCGCGGUAAUACGUAGGGUGCGAGCGUUGUCCGGAAUUAUUGGGCGUAAAGGGCUUGUAGGCGGUUUGUCGCGUCUGCCGUGAAAUCCUCUGGCUUAACUGGGGGCGUGCGGUG